GAUGAACGCUAGCGGCAGGCUUAAUACAUGCAAGUCGUGGGGCAGCAUGAGUAGCAAUACUUGAUGGCGACCGGCAAACGGGUGAGGAACACGUACACAACCUUCCUUCAAGCGGGGAAUAGCCCAGAGAAAUUUGGAUUAAUACCCCAUAAUAUAUUUGAUAAGGCAUCUUAUUAAUAUUAAAGCUUCGGCACUUGAUGAUGGGUGUGCGGCUGAUUAGAUAGUUGGCGGGUAACGGCCCACCAAGUCUACGAUCAGUAGCUGAUGUGAGAGCAUGAUCAGCCACACGGGCACUGAGACACGGGCCCGACUCCUACGGGAGGCAGCAGUAAGGAAUAUUGGACAAUGGACGAAAGUCUGAUCCAGCCAUGCCGCGUGAAGGAUUAAAGGUCCUCUGGAUUGUAAACUUCUUUAUAUGGACGAAAAAGGG
rnacentral:rRNA from 1 species